UUAGCAUAUAAAUUGGUUUGGAUUAAAUAUUUGGAUCGAGAAUCAAUAAUUAUUUUAAGUAUUGCAACAGUGAACGUGGGAAGAAAGCAGUGUGAGAAGCUGUUUCUGUAUGUAAUGAAGAAAAUAAAAGCCUGCAGUAGAAGAACCUAAGGCAAAUGAGAAAGAAGAGUAGUCUCGAAGCAAUUAUGGCAACUAUCAGAGAGAUAUGGAGGAGGAGGAGAUAACCAU
rnacentral:lncRNA from 1 species